ensembl:lncRNA
AUGUUAAUUCAUAUUCCCCUUGUUCCAAGCCCGGCUCUAAGCUUGACUCUUCUCUUUCAGGUUCAGCUUGGUUGUGACCUCUGCUGGAAGCCCUCCCUGGCCCCCCUGUGCACUGAGCUGGCGGUUCCUCCUCUGUGCCCCAGGAUGAUCUAUCUUCUGCAGCUAAGCGUCAUUCAGAAUAUGAAGGGCUAUUCCAGACAAGAUUCACGGGAUAUGGUCUAUCAUGCAAGUCCCAUUCUGGACUUUAAGGCUCGUGACAAAGAUGUUCAAAGUCAAACCUGCUCAAAGUCAAGACUUAAAGGAAAUGUAGGAGAACUCUCUGGCCUGAUAAAGUCCACAGAAGCCUCAUCUUCUUCUGAUGAAUGAUCUUCAGGCUUGAAAGGAUGCCUUCCUCCAAACAGGCUGGCAGACAUUCUUGAAAUGUCAAAGGAUAGGCCAGGGGUGGUGGCUCACACCUGUAAUCCUAGCACUUUGGGAGGCCAAGGUGGGCUGAUUGCCUGAGCUCAGUAGCUCGAGACCAGCCUGGACGAUGUGGUGGAACCCCAUCUCUGCUAAAAUACAAAAAAUUAGCCGGGCAUGGUGGUGCAUGCCUAUAGUCCCAGCUACUCGGGAGGCUGAGGCGAAAGAAUCACUUGAGCCCAGGAGGCAGAGGUUGCUGUGAGCCGAGAUUGCACCACUGCACUCCAGCCUGGGUGAUAGAGUGAGACUCCAUUUCAAAAAAAAAAAAAGAAAGAAAGAAAUGCCAAAGGAUACUCCUCCAUCCCCCUGUGGAAAAAACUAGUAGUGAGAACGUAAGACCAGGAGCACAGGAACAGAUAACAAGGAGGUGUCUGAAGGCCACAGUGAGAGUGACAUGGAAACCAGCCAAGGCACUGAUGGCCAUGGGAAAAAAAUGAUCUCAAGGAAGAGAUAAUUCCUUGAGAGGAGGCUGCUCCAGCUCGGAUUUGUUCAUUCAUUUUACAGUCAGGAAGCCACUCCACCCUCAAAGAAGGUAAUAUGAGUCCUACUACCUUUCUGAAAGGAAGCUGGGUAAGAAAAGCAAGAUGGUAACUUUCCCAAGUCAGGGAACCCCUGUCUCCCCAACUUCUGCAUCAUGUAGACCAUUUGUGUCCACAACUUACAGGAGGCAGUGUAGACUAGCAGUUGAGAAUGUGAGUCUAGAAUCAGAAGGCCUGGGUUCAAACCUCAACUCCAUCACUUUCCAGCUAUUUGGCCUUGGACAUAUUACUUAAACUCUUGUGUGUUUUAAAACAUGUACACAAUCCUUUGACUCUCUUCCCAUCAAGAAGUGGAGCCUAUGUCCCCUCCCUUUGCAACUGGGUGGAAAUGUGGCAGUGCCUAGACAAAUAGAAUGUGGCAAAAGUGGCACUGUGUAAUUUCCAAGGUUAGGUUAGAAAAGACCCUGCAGCUUCUGAUGAUUCCUUUAGGGACACUUGUGUGGGGAAGCUUCAGCUGCUGUGAAAGAAACUCAGCUACCCUGAGGCUGCCUUGUAGAGGGACUGCAUUUAAAGUGAGAGAUUCCUGAGAAGCCCCAGUCAUCCAGCCCCAAGCAGGGUGAACCUUCUAGUCUAGACCCCAGCAUUUGAGCUGACCUCAGCCCCAGCCA